rnacentral:rRNA from 1 species
GACGAACGCUGGCGGCGUGCCUAAUACAUGCAAGUAGAACGCUGAAGGAGGAGCUUGCUUCUCUGGAUGAGUUGCGAACGGGUGAGUAACGCGUAGGUAACCUGCCUGUUAGCGGGGGAUAACUAUUGGAAACGAUAGCUAAUACCGCAUAAUAUUGACUAUUGCAUGAUAGUCAGUUGAAAGGUGCAACUGCACCACUACCAGAUGGACCUGCGUUGUAUUAGCUAGUUGGUGGGGUAACGGCUCACCAAGGCGACGAUACAUAGCCGACCUGAGAGGGGGAUCGGCCACACUGGGACUGAGACACGGCCCAGGCUCCUACGGGAGGCAGCAGGAGGGAAUCUUCGGGAAUGGGCGGAAGUCUGACCGAGCAACGCCGCGUGAGUGAAGAAGGUUUUCGGAUCGUAAAGCUCUGUUGUAAGAGAAGAACGAGUGUGAGAGUGGAAAGCUCACACUGUGACGGUAUCUUACCAGAAAGGGACGGCUAACUACGUG